rnacentral:rRNA from 1 species
AUGUCCUCCAUGCUAAUGUUGAUCUCCUGGGAGCUUUGGAAGGAACGCAAUGCGAGGGUCUUCCGCAACACCGCGACUCCUUCAACAGUCAUUGUGCGCAACAUUAAGGAUGAAAUCAAUUUGUGGGUUUUAGCGGGUGCUAAGCACUUUGGUUUUGCUAUGCCGCGAGAGUGA